rnacentral:rRNA from 1 species
CAGGCUUAACACAUGCAAGUCGAACGCCCCCUUCGGGGGGAGUGGCAGACGGGUGAGUAACGCGUGGGAACAUACCUUUCGGUUCGGAAUAGCCCCGGGAAACUGGGUGUAAUACCGGAUACGUCCUUAGGGAGAAAGAUUUAUCGCCGAAAGAUUGGCCCGCGUUAGAUUAGGUAGUUGGUGAGGUAAAGGCUCACCAAGCCUACGAUCUAUAGCUGGUCUGAGAGGAUGAUCAGCCACACUGGGACUGAGACACGGCCCAGACUCCUACGGGAGGCAGCAGUGAGGAAUCUUGGACAAUGGGCGAAAGCCUGAUCCAGCCAUGCCGCGUGAAUGAUGAAGGCCUUAGGGUUGUAAAAUUCUUUCAGCAGGGAAGAUAAUGACGGUACCUGCAGAAGAAGCCCCGGC